rnacentral:rRNA from 1 species
CCUACGGGAGGCAGCAGUGGGGAAUUUUGGACAAUGGGCGCAAGCCUGAUCCAGCCAUGCCGCGUGCAGGAUGAAGGCCUUCGGGUUGUAAACUGCUUUUGUACGGAACGAAAAGACUCUGGUUAAUACCUGGGGUCCAUGACGGUACCGUAAGAAUAAGCACCGGCUAACUACGUGCCAGCAGCCGCGGUAAUACGUAGGGUGCGAGCGUUAAUCGGAAUUACUGGGCGUAAAGCGUGCGCAGGCGGUUAUAUAAGACAGAUGUGAAAUCCCCGGGCUCAACCUGGGAACUGCAUUUGUGACUGUAUAGCUAGAGUACGGCAGAGGGGGAUGGAAUUCCGCGUGUAGCAGUGAAAUGCGUAGAUAUGCGGAGGAACACCGAUGGCGAAGGCAAUCCCCUGGGCCUGUACUGACGCUCAUGCACGAAAGCGUGGGGAGCAAACAGGAUUAGAUACCCUGGUAGUCCACGCCCUAAACGAUGUCAACUGGUUGUUGGGUCUUCACUGACUCAGUAACGAAGCUAACGCGUGAAGUUGACCGCCUGGGGAGUACGGCCGCAAGGUUGAAACUCAAAUGAAUUGACGGCUGAGACGNGCGAGGACGACACGAGGGAGGAGG